UACGAAGGGGGCUAGCGUUGCUCGGAAUCACUGGGCGUAAAGGGUGCGUAGGCGGGUUUUUAAGUCAGAGGUGAAAUCCUGGAGCUCAACUCCAGAACUGCCUUUGAUACUGGAAGUCUUGAGUAUGGGAGAGGUGAGUGGAACUGCGAGUGUAGAGGUGAAAUUCGUAGAUAUUCGCAAGAACACCAGUGGCGGAAGGCGGCUCACUGGCCCAUUACUGACGCUGAGGCACGAAAGCGUGGGGAGCAAACAGG
rnacentral:rRNA from 1 species